rnacentral:lncRNA from 1 species
CUCUGAGGUGGUCUCAGUGGUGGUGAUUGAAGAAGUGAAGCCAGGAGUACUGUGUGAGGUAGUCUCAGUGGUGGUGAUUGAAGAAGUGAGGCCAGGAGUAAUGUGUGAGGGGGUCUCAGUGGUGGUGAUUGAAGAACUGAAGCUGGGAGUACUGUGUGAGGUGGUCUCCGUGGUGGUGAUCAAAGAAGUGAAGCUGGGAGUACUGUGGGAUGGGGUCUCGGUGGUGGUGAUUGAGGUAGUGUAGCUGAGAGUACUGUGUGAGGGGGUCUCGGUGGUUGCGAUUGAAGAAGUGAAGCUAGGAGUACUGUGUGAGGUGAUCUUGGUGGUCGUGGUUACCAAGUUUGUUGUUGGAACUGUGGCUGUUACUGUGGUGAGGAGAGAGGAAGA